rnacentral:misc_RNA from 1 species
UCCGGUUUGUCACCGGCGGUCUCCUUAGAGUUCCCACCAUUACGUGCUGGCAACUAAGGACAAGGGUUGCGCUCGUUGCGGGACUUAACCCAACAUCUCACGACACGAGCUGACGACAGCCAUGCAGCACCUGUGUUCGCGCUCCCGAAGGCACCCUCCCAUCUCUGGAAGGUUCGCGACAUGUCAAGGCCAGGUAAGGUUCUUCGCGUUGCAUCGAAUUAAACCACAUACUCCACCGCUUGUGCGGGCCCCCGUCAAUUCCUUUGAGUUUCAGUCUUGCGACCGUACUUCCCAGGCGGCGAACUUAACGCGUUAGCUUCGAUACUGAGGGCCAAGUUGCCCCCAACAUCCAGUUCGCAUCGUUUAGGGCGUGGACUAC